GAAGGUGUACUGUGAGGUAUGCUGGAGGUAUCAGAAGUGCGAAUGCUGACAUAAGUAACGAUAAAGCGGGUGAAAAGCCCGCUCGCCGGAAGACCAAGGGUUCCUGUCCAACGUUAAUCGGGGCAGGGUGAGUCGACCCCUAAGGCGAGGCCGAAAGGCGUAGUCGAUGGGAAACAGGUUAAUAUUCCUGUACUUGGUGUUACUGCGAAGGGGGGACGGAGAAGGCUAUGUUGGCCGGGCGACGGUUGUCCCGGUUUAAGCGUGUAGGCUGGUUUUCCAGGCAAAUCCGGAAAAUCAAGGCUGAGGCGUGAUGACGAGGCACUACGGUGCUGAAGCAACAAAUGCCCUGCUUCCAGGAAAAGCCUCUAAGCAUCAGGUAACAUCAAAUCGUACCCCAAACCGACACAGGUGGUCAGGUAGAGAAUACCAAGGCGCUUGAGAGAACUCGGGUGAAGGAACUAGGCAAAAUGGUGCCGUAACUUCGGGAGAAGGCACGCUGAUAUGUAGGUGAAGUCCCUUGCGGAUGGAGCUGAAAUCAGUCGAAGAUACCAGCUGGCUGCAACUGUUUAUUAAAAACACAGCACUGUGCAAACACGAAAGUGGACGUAUACGGUGUGACGCCUGCCCGGUGCCGGAAGGUUAAUUGAUGGGGUCAGCGCAAGCGAAGCUCUUGAUCGAAGCCCCGGUAAACGGCGGCCGUAACUAUAACGGUCCUAAGGUAGCGAAAUUCCUUGUCGGGUAAGUUCCGACCUGCACGAAUGGCGUAAUGAUGGCCAGGCUGUCUCCACCCGAGACUCAGUGAAAUUGAACUCGCUGUGAAGAUGCAGUGUACCCGCGGCAAGACGGAAAGACCCCGUGAACCUUUACUAUAGCUUGACACUGAACAUUGAGCCUUGAUGUGUAGGAUAGGUGGGAGGCUUUGAAGUGUGGACGCCAGUCUGCAUGGAGCCGACCUUGAAAUACCACCCUUUAAUGUUUGAUGUUCUAACGUUGACCCGUAAUCCGGGUUGCGGACAGUGUCUGGUGGGUAGUUUGACUGGGGCGGUCUCCUCCUAAAGAGUAACGGAGGAGCACGAAGGUUGGCUAAUCCUGGUCGGACAUCAGGAGGUUAGUGCAAUGGCAUAAGCCAGCUUGACUGCGAGCGUGACGGCGCGAGCAGGUGCGAAAGCAGGUCAUAGUGAUCCGGUGGUUCUGAAUGGAAGGGCCAUCGCUCAACGGAUAAAAGGUACUCCGGGGAUAACAGGCUGAUACCGCCCAAGAGUUCAUAUCGACGGCGGUGUUUGGCACCUCGAUGUCGGCUCAUCACAUCCUGGGGCUGAAGUAGGUCCCAAGGGUAUGGCUGUUCGCCAUUUAAAGUGGUACGCGAGCUGGGUUUAGAACGUCGUGAGACAGUUCGGUCCCUAUCUGCCGUGGGCGCUGGAGAACUGAGGGGGGCUGCUCCUAGUACGAGAGGACCGGAGUGGACGCAUCACUGGUGUUCGGGUUGUCAUGCCAAUGGCACUGCCCGGUAGCUAAAUGCGGAAGAGAUAAGUGCUGAAAGCAUCUAAGCACGAAACUUGCCCCGAGAUGAGUUCUCCCUGACUCCUUGAGAGUCCUGAAGGAACGUUGAAGACGACGACGUUGAUAGGCCGGGUGUGUAAGCGCAGCGAUGCGUUGAGCUAACCGGUACUAAUGAACCGUGAGGCUUAACCUU
rnacentral:rRNA from 1 species